GACGAACGCUGGCGGCGUGCCUAAUACAUGCAAGUAGGACGCAGUUGCGAACGGGUGAGUAACGCGUAGGCACCUGCCUAUGAGAGGGGGAUAACUAUUGGAAACGAUAGCUAAUACCGCAUACUAAUAGAUGGACCUGCGUUGUAUUAGCUAGUAGGUGGGGUAAUAGGCUACCUAGGCGACGCUACAUAGCCGACCUGAGAGGGUGAUCGGCCACACUGGGACUGAGACACGGCCCAGAAUCCUACGGGAGGCAGCAGUAGGGAAUCUUCGGCAAUGGGGGGAACCCUGACCGAGCAACGCCGCGUGAGUGAAGAAGGUUUUCGGAUCGUAAAGCUCUGUUGUUAAGGAAGCGGUACUUAACCAGAAAGGGACGGCUAACUACGUGCCAGCAGCCGCGGUAAUAC
rnacentral:rRNA from 1 species